AUUUCGCCUCAUCCAAGUAAGAUUACCCGCUGAACUUAAGCAUAUCAGUAAGCGGAGGAAAAGAAACUAACUAGGAUUCCGUCAGUAACGGCGAGUGAAGACGGAGUAGCCCAAGGUUCAAUCCUGAUUCUCUUUGAGGGUAGGAGAUUUAACCUAUGGAUGGUAGAAUCUAGCGUUUAGGGACUUAUAAUUCCUUUUGGAAUUUAGAGUCAUAGAAGGUGAUAACCCUGUACUGGGUCUCUUUGCGUUAGAACUUGUCUGCUAUUCCACGAGUAGGAAUGUCUGAAAUUGCAUUCUGAAUGGGUGAUAAGAUUCAUCCAAGGCUAAAUAUAAGUUAGGAGAUCGAUAGCAUACAAGUACCGUGAGGGAAAGGUGAAAAGAACUUUGAAAAAAGGUUUAAAAGUAUUUGACACCGUUUGUGUGGAAGCGUUUACUCGGGCCCCUAAUGAAGAGUUGAUUUGGCUCAGUUUCUUAAUAGUUGAUAAUAGGGUUUUUGGAUGCUGAUCAAAAGGUUUCCUUGAGCUUUAGGUUUGAUUAUAAUGAGGAGCGUAUUCCAAGUUAACUAGUUACCAGUGGGUAAGGUUUGAUGUUGAGAAAGUUGGGGAUGAGGUCACUUGCUUGCAAGGGACUCGCCUUAAAUAAUAAACAUUGAGCUUUAUCUUGAUUGCAAAAAGAUGGCAAUUCCCUUUCAGCGAGUGUUAAAUUUUGUUGUGCUGCUGUUAUUGUUUGUCUAGCUUUUUUAUUAAGGCUUUUCAACUUUAGUGGUUCGUACGAUUUUAUUGUUGCGCUUCUGGAAGUAGUUAUCUUUCACUGGAGUUGGGUACGAUAAAUGUCCCGUCUUGAAACACGGAUCAAGGAGGCUGUUUUAUGUGCGAGUGUAAGAGUAAUUAAAACUCCGACGCGUAUUGAAAGAAAGAAUAAUCUCAACGAUCGUCUCUACGGAGGCCUUCGAAAAGGAUUGCCCGAAUCAUGAGAACUCUGUUUCGAAAAGAUUUGAGGUUGAGCACAUAGAAUAGGACCCGAAAGAUUGUGAACUAUGCUUGAGGAAGGCGAAGCCAGGGGAAACUCUGGUGGAGGCUUGUCGCAAUGCUGACGUGCAAAUCGCUUGUCUAACUUGAGUAUAGGGGCGAAAGACUAAUCGAACAAUCUAGUAGCUGGUUCCUUCCGAAGUUUCCCUCAGGAUAGCUGGAACCGUAUUCUAGUUUCAUCUUGUAAAGACAAUGAUUAGCAGUUUCGGGGACGUAAUGUCCUCAGCUGAUUCUCAAACUCUGAACAGGUGAGAAGCCUAUCAAUUCACUUAAUUGGAUUUUGGUAGUAAGUUGCACAUGUGUAACGAAAAAUAGAAGGUUCCUAGUGGGCCAUUUUUGGUAAGCAGAACUGGCGAUGUGGGUUGAACCAAAUAUCGGGAUAAGACGCCAAAUAUCCACUAAUAGAUACCACAAAAGGUGUUAGUUCAUUAAGACAGCAGGACGGUGGCCAUGGAAGUCGGCAUCCGCUAAGGAGUGUGUAACAACUCACCUGCCAAAUGGACUAGCCCUGAAAAUGGAUGGCGCUACAGUGGAUAGUCGAUGCCCGGUCGCUAAACGAAGUGAUAAUGCGUUUAGUGAGUAGGAAGGCGUGAAGGUAACGUAGAAGCUUGACUGUGAAGUUGAGUGGAGUUUCCUUUAGUGCAGAUCUUGAUGGUAGUAGCAAAUAUUCAAAAGAAUUUACUUUGAAGGCCGAAGUGGAGAAGGGUUCCAUAACAAUGGAAUUCAUUUAUGGGUGAGUCGAUCCUAAGGCUUGGGUUAACUCUCUCUAAUAUGGGUCACUAGGAUCUUGACGGGUAGCAAUAUUCGUCUUGGUCUUUAACAACUAGUGACUCUUUAGGCCGAAAGGGAAGCGGGUUAAAAUUCCUGCACCAUUGAAAAGGUUAUUAGGGUAACCGAUCGCUAUCCGGGACAUCAAUUGGUGAUCGAGGAAGAGUUAUCUUUUCUUGUUAACGUUGUGUACAAUUUAUUGAAAUCCUUUAAAGUAGGUCAACUAGAGACAAGGAUUUAUCCCACAACGGAAGAGCACUCCCCUUUGGGGAGGGUCUCGCAUUCACUGAUUGGUCCUUGAAAACCGGAUGGUGGUAUUUAGACCUUUUCAAUGUUCGUACCAAUAACCACAUCAGGUCUCCAAGGUGAAUAGCCUCUGGCCAAAUGUAUUAAUGUAGAUAAGGGAAGUCGGCAAAACCGAUCUGUAACUUCGGGAUAAGGAUUGGCUCUAAAGACUGGUAUUAUGGACAAGGUGGAGGUGUUUUUUCUGGUUGAUAUUGCUAGGUUGGGCAACUGAUUUGGCGGUGUUAAUUUGGAGGAUUCACUUUAUUCUGCUUUGAGUAGCUCUUUCGGGGGUUGCGUUCUGUUUUACAAUUAACAGUUAAUUUAGAACUGUAACGAUCACGGGGAAUCCAACUGUUUAAUUAAAACAAAGCAUUGCGAAUAGCUGAAAAGCCCUUGACGCAAUGUGAUUUCUGCCCAGUGCUCUGAAUGUCAAAGUGAAGAGAUUCAACCUAGCACGGGUAAACGGCGGGAGUAACUAUGACUCUCUUAAGGUAGCCAAAUGCCUCGUCAUCUAAUUAGUGACGCGCAUGAAUGGAUCAAUGAGAUUCCCACUGUCCCUAACUACUAUACAGCGAAACCACUGCUAGGGGAACGGGCCUAGCAAAAACAGCGGGGAAAGAAGACCCUGUUGAGCUUGACUCUAGUCUGAUAUUGCAUAGUGACCUAAAAGGUGUAGAAUAGGUGGGAGGGGCAACCCGACGGUGAAAUACCACCCCUUUUGGCGUUACUUUGCUAACUUGGAAUAACAGUACCUCUUAGUCUGACUAGGAUGGUUUUGGUGACUACUCUGGUAAGUACGGGUGAAAUGCGGUUUGCAGGGG
rnacentral:rRNA from 1 species